rnacentral:rRNA from 1 species
AUGGGGAACCUUUGUGUGUGCAUGGGCGGCUCCGCCAAGUGCGCCAGCGCGUCCACCCCCUUCCAAUCAAAGGUGAACCCGAGGAGCAGCACCUCCAACUCCAACUCCAAGGCGUCGCGCCGGAGCAGCUCCGGCCCGGAGAAGCCGGCGGAGGCGCCGACGACGGCGGGGGAGGCGCAGGCGGUGCCGCCGGCGUCGCUCAAGUCGUUCAGCAUGGCGGACCUGCGGGCGGCCACCAAGAACUUCGGCUCCACGUCCUACCACGGGGAGGGCGGAUUCGGGUGCGUCUACAAGGGGUGGAUCGACGAGGCCACGCUCGCCCCCGCCAGGCCCGGCGCCACCAACGCCAUGAUGGUGGCCAUCAAGAAGCUCAAGAAGGAGAGCUUCCAGGGCCACCGGGAGUGGCUCACCGAGGUCACCUACCUCGGCGACCUCCACCAUGAGAACCUGGUGAAGCUCGUCGGCUACUGCUCCGACUCCGACAGCAACUAG